AAACUGAUGAUUAAAACAGUGAGUAAUCACCAUUUACCCUGAGUAAUUAGAGAUAAUGAAACACCUCUAAAAUCAGGUUAUGGAGAAAGGAGCUGUUGGAUCGGUUUAAAAGGUGGCCUUCCAUAAACUGUUAAAGGAUUUCCAAACGUUGAGAAACAGGCUGUGUGCAGAACUGUGUGUGUGCCAGAGAGAGAUACCUCUUGGGCUGUUAAAAGUGUGCGGGAACAGUGUGACCUAAACAA
rnacentral:lncRNA from 1 species